UACGGAGGGUGCAAGCGUUAUCCGGAUUCACUGGGUUUAAAGGGUGCGUAGGCGGGUUGGCAAGUCCGUGGUGAAAUCUCCGAGCUUAACUCGGAAACUGCCGUGGAUACUAUCAAUCUUGAAUAUCGUGGAGGUAAGCGGAAUAUGUCAUGUAGCGGUGAAAUGCUUAGAUAUGACAUAGAACACCAAUUGCGUAGGCAGCUUACUACACGAUCAUUGACGCUGAGGCACGAAAGCGUGGGGAGCAAACAGG
rnacentral:rRNA from 1 species